CUACGGGACGCUGCAGUGAGGAAUAUUGCACAAUGGGGGGAACCCUGAUGCAGCAACGCCGCGUGGAGGAUGACGCAUUUCGGUGUGUAAACUCCUUUUAUAUGUCAAGAAAAUGACGGUAGCAUAUGAAUAAGCACCGGCUAACUCCGUGCCAGCAGCCGCGGUAAUACGGAGGGUGCAAGCGUUACUCGGAAUCACUGGGCGUAAAGGACGCGUAGGCGGGUUGGAAAGUCAGGUGUGAAAUCCUACAGCUUAACUGUAGAACUGCACUUGAAACUUCUAAUCUAGAGUAUGGGAGGGGGGGAUGGAAUUUGGGGGGUAGGGGUAAAAUCCGUAGAUAUCACUAGGAAUACCUAAAGCGAAGGCGAUCUCCUGGAACAUUACUGACGCUAAGGCGUGAAAGCGUGGGGAGCAAACAGGAUUAGAUACCCCUGUAGUC
rnacentral:rRNA from 1 species